GGCACCAUGGCCUAAUGGUAAGGCGUUGCUUUCCGGUUCAGCCUGGCAAAGAUUGUGGGUUCGAGUCCCACUGGUGUCG